GACGAACGCUGGCGGCGUGCUUAACACAUGCAAGUCGAACGAAGAGCGAUGGAAGCUUGCUUCUAUCAAUCUUAGUGGCGAACGGGUGAGUAACGCGUAAUCAACCUGCCCUUCAGAGGGGGACAACAGUUGGAAACGACUGCUAAUACCGCAUACGAUCUAACCUCGGCAUCGAGGAUAGAUGAAAGGUGGCCUCUACAUGUAAGCUAUCACUGAAGGAGGGGAUUGCGUCUGAUUAGCUAGUUGGAGGGGUAACGGCCCACCAAGGCGAUGAUCAGUAGCCGGUCUGAGAGGAUGAACGGCCACAUUGGGACUGAGACACGGCCCAGACUCCUACGGGAGGCAGCAGUGGGGAAUCUUCCGCAAUGGACGAAAGUCUGACGGAGCCACGCCGCGUGAGUGAUGACGGCCUUCGGGUUGUAAAGCUCUGUUAAUCGGGACGAAAGGCCUUCUUGCGAAUAGUGAGAAGGAUUGACGGUACCGGAAUAGAAAGCCACGGCUAACUACGUG
rnacentral:rRNA from 1 species